AAUUUUAUAAAUUUGAUAAUUUUAUUCUCAUCUAAUGUAUGUGAGCAAUUCAAAUACAAUUUAUUUAUAUAGCUAUAAUCUUAUAGAAACCACAAAGACAUGAAUCAAAACAUGCCCCUUGAUUACAUGUACUAUCCAACUUUGAGAAUAUGCCAGAUAAACCCAACCUGACACAAAAAGAAAAAGUUAAACCUACUUGAUCAAAUCAUUCAAAUACACAGAAUUGUUCACAAAAACAUAAUCAUUGUACCCUCAUUCAACAUUAUCAUAAACAGAAAGCACUAAAGCAAGAGAGUAUCAGUACUUACAAGUUACAACUUCAAUCAGUGCUAUCUCUCCAGCUCAAUAAUUGAAGAAAUAGGAUAGAGAGGAAAGAAUAUACUUUACUAUUCCAGGCUGUACUUUUUGCUUCAAGUGAGACUCAAAAUGUGUCCAACAAGAUUGGAAGAGUUUUCUUCUAUCUUCUGAAUAAAAAAUGACCAAAAAACAAAAGAGGGAAACAAGCAAGAGUCAUAUGAGAGUGUGGGAUAGAAA
rnacentral:lncRNA from 1 species